rnacentral:rRNA from 1 species
UACGUAGGUGGCAAGCGUUGUCCGGAUUUACUGGGCGUAAAGAGCGCGCAGGCGGUCGUUCAAGUCGCGUGUGAAAGCCCCCCGGCUCAACUGGGGAGGGUCACGCGAUACUGAUCGACUGGAAGGCAGGAGAGGGUAGUGGAAUUCCCGGUGUAGUGGUGAAAUGCGUAGAUAUCGGGAGGAACACCAGUGGCGAAGGCGGCAUCCUGGACCGAUAUUGACACUGAUGAGCGAAAGCUAGGGGAGCAAACGGG